rnacentral:lncRNA from 1 species
CUGGAAAAGUGCUUCAGAAUGUGAAAGCUCAAGCUGUGGUGAAGGGGGAGAAAGAGCAAAUUGUUUUGGAAGAAUUUCACCACUGCCUCCGUUGGAGAGUGAAAUGAAAGGGGAUGACGUUCGAUUGUUCCCACACAGAAUUACACAACAUUCAUCACAAUGCUUCCCUUGCUCAAGUCCAAAACCUGACAGGAAUAAUAUCCCCAUGACACCCACACGACUACAUUUAUCUCGAGAAUCCCCAAGAAGAAAAAAAACACAUCCUUAGUGCUAAUUCUCAUUUGCUCUGAAGGAUCAAUGCUUGUUAACAUCAUCAAAACAUUGUGACAGCUUAGAAGACAGCUUAAAAAUGUUUCUUUUAGUCCUGAAGGCACUUAAAGGCAACGCAGAAAGAUCAAAACCCAACACAAACGACAAGAGACGAAAGCGAGGUCCACAGAGAUGUCAGCUCUGGACAUGACUGUGACAUCAAUCCUUCAGCCAGCUCUCUUACAUCUGAAGAAAGGAGCUCUGUGCUCCUCAGCAACAGGUGACCUACAUCAGAGGUUAAAAAGCGAGCAAAACCUCCACAGGGGCUGGUGGGGUACCGUGGGGUUAUUUUGGUAACGUAAGUGGUUUAGUCUUUCAGUGCGCUCCAAUGCAGACGCUUAUCGGCUGAUCGCUUCUGUGAAAGCACCUCGAGAAACAUCUAUCCAUUUUACAGCACUUGUUCGUUUCGGUCCGUGGCAACAGAAGCAUCCCAGCGCUCUUUUGCUUAUUAAAAUCGCUCGGUGCAUAUGUGCACCUGUCACGUGAUUUGUGAUUGGUUAAGAUGCAGAUUGAGAGUACGCUCUUUUUGCGCAGUUUCUUACCAACAACCGAUCGGCACGUGUAAGCUGGGCCCUGCGCUGAAGUGAAUUAGACAUGGAUCCAGCAGCAGAGGCCCAGCAUUGCGUACAGUGUGUGCAUCGUUUAGAGACUAAAGCAGCCGUCGAGGUCAGAGCCGGUGAGGUUAGUUCCCCACGAGAGGGCUGAGGUCUCCAUGAUGGUUCUUGAGUUUCUUCUUAAACAGAGAGAUGGUGGAGGGUCUGUAGAAGAUGAUCCAGGGUUCAGACGUGGUGCUCUGCGCGCACGAAUCCGACCCGCUGAUUGACGGGAUGGACGGGGAUCUGAGAGGGAAGACAGACACAAAACGCAGAUAAGGACCGAGAGCGGAGAAGUUAAUUUGUAUCAAACUUUCAUGCAUGCUACAAUACGCCCGGUAAAGUCAAAUGACAUGCAAAAUGUCCAUUAACAGUAAAACGGAUGCUAUAAAUCUGCCAACGGCGUACAGAUAAAGUAGCAAAUCAAAGCGUGACUCUGAGAUAAAGCCUGCUGAAAAAUACAAUAGAAACCAUCACAGAAAAUUAGAAUGGUUUCCACUACAAACACGACUAUUACGAACAUUACAAACCAUCAACUUUUAAUCAUUAAAACCAUUAAAGAGCAGGUCAGAUGGUAUUUUAAAGUGUCCCAAUAUUGUAUUGGAGUCCCCUACAUCAGGUUUAAAAGCAUCUAAGGUCAGAAAACAUUGUAAUUUUCUCAGAAUAUACAUUUAAUAUUAGAGUCAUUUGCCAAUGAUUAGGAAAUGAUUCAUUUCAAGCAAGUUCGGAGCAAGCCCCUCCCUUCCUCAAGCCUACUCUGCUCUGAUUGGUCAGCUGGCCAAACCUGUUGUGAUUGGCACAGAGAUGAGUCCUUGAGCCAGUUAGCCAGCGCUACCAUUGACAAAGCACUUACAUAAAACAAUAAUAUAGUCAAUCCGUUCUUAUAAUGCUGCUAAACUGUGAACACUAGGUGGAAUACGUUAGCCGAGUGCUAACGUGACUAACUGAUUAAACAAUACAGUUUGUAAACCAAAAUAUGUCUACUGUAAUGUUUGAAGAACGACAGACAAAAGACGCUUGGUCUUAAUCAGAACGCAGAACAGUUGUAUCACAGGAGCACCAGCCGAAAUCACUCAUCUCUCCCGCAUUAACCCUGUAACUGCCAGUGCAGCACAAUAAACAGCAGUUUCACAAUUAUUAUAAAGUCUGUGUGCUACACUACAUUCUUAUUAUUAAACAAAGUAAUUAGAACAACGUCAGUCUACAAUAAUCAAGAUAUUCUUAGGUUCACUGCGAAUUUUUAGAACUACUUCAGUAAGACAGUAAUAUCGUGCUUUACCUGGAAACCUAAAGCUGCACUAGGUAUACAUCACAUAUUGGCACAACAAAAUUAUAUUUUGAGCACUCAAUUGAAAAUGUACACCUAACGUAUCAAUCACAAUUACUAUAAAGUCUGUGUGCUACACUACAUUCUUUAUUAUUAAACAAAGUAAUUAGGACAACGUCAGUCUACAAUAAUCGACAUAUUCUUAGGUUCACUGCGAAUUUUUAGAACUACUUCAGUAAGACAGUAAUAUCGUGCUUUACCUGGAAACCUAAAGCUGCACUAGGUAUACAUCACAUAUUGGCAUAAAAAAAAUUAUAUUUUGAGCACUCAGUUGAAAAUGUACACCUAACGUAUCAAUCGUACUACUUACAGGUCAUGGUUCAGAGAGCUUGUUAGUCCAAAUUAAGAAGAUUAGAAGCCAACGAAGAUAAAAGCCCAGAUUAGAGAAGCAGUUCUUGAUAAAAUGACAAGCACACAACAAAAGGCUCGAAUUGUAUUUCUGUGGUAUCCUUGAACACCGCGUCUUCUCAACAUAUAUAGCACUAAUAGCAAAAGUGUUUGUGGGCAGAUCAGACUCUGUUCGUAUUUCGCGGGCAGGCGGGGAUUAUGCAAAUGUGUACCCAGUGUUUACAUAAAACAAUAAUAUAAUCAAUCCGUUCUUAUAAUGACAUAAAAUACAAAAACACUUAUGCAAGCGAAUCGUGCCCACAGCUAAAGUUUAGCUGCUAAACUGUGAACACUAGGUGGAUACGUUAGCCGAGUGCUAACGUGACUAACUGAUGAAACAAUACAGUUUGUAAACCAAAAUAUGUCUACUGUAAUGUUUGAAGAACAACAGACAAAAGACGCUUGGUCUUAACUUUUAAUCAGAACGCAGAACAGUUGUAUCACAGGAGCACCAGCCGAAAUCACUCAUCGCUCCCGCAUUAACCCUGUAACUGCCAGUGCAGCACAAUAAACAGCAGUUUCACAAUUACUAUAAAGUCUGUGUGCUACACUACAUUCUUUAUUAUUAAACAAAGUAAUUAGGACAACGUCAGUCUACAAUAAUCGACAUAUUCUUAGGUUCACUGCGAAUUUUUAGAACUACUUCAGUAAGACAGUAAUAUCGUGCUUUACCUGGCCUAAAGCUGCACUAGGUAUACAUCACAUAUUGGCACAAAAAAUUAUAUUUUGAGCACUCAAUUGAAAAUGCAGGUCAUGGUUCAGAGAGCUUGUUAGUCCAAAUUAAGAAGAUUAGAAGCCAACGAAGAUAAAAGCCCAGAUUAGAGAAGCAGUUCUUGAUAAAAUGACAAGCACACAACAAAAGGCUCGAAUUGUAUUUCUGUGGUAUCCUUGAACACCGCGUCUUCUCAACAUAUAUAGCACUAAUAGCAAAAGUGUUUGUGGGCAGAUCAGACUCUGUUCGUAUUUCGCGGGCAGGCGGGGAUUAUGCAAAUGUGUACCCAGUGACGUACACCGGUAACAGGCAAAAUAGUCGAAAAUAUAACGACUCGUUACGGCGAUUCAGAACCGAUUCUCUCUUUUGAGAGACAAUAUCUUUAUUUAUCAUGCACUUUUUUGAUUAACAACUUUGCAGAUUGUUUUCAUUUAAGGAUAGCUACGUUAUAAACUGCAAAAGAGAGAUUUUUCAAAAACCCAUCUGACCUGCUCUUUAAAUUAUAGCAUAUAUGUUCUGGCCCGCCAUCUAGUGGCGAAAUUUUUUGUUGGCCAGAUGCCAAACUUACUUGUCAAACCCUGAUCUGAAAGGUAGUCUUUUAUAAUGUCUAAAUUUAUAUCUAAAUGCGAAACCUGAUUGAAUGAAGAGAUGUUGUCUAAAAAAACAACGAGAGUCCAAAAGCCCCAGGUUACGCAACAUUACACAAGUUUUUAUUUUUUAACACCCUCCAGAUGGCACAAUUCUCACUUCAAAAAAUGGAUUUUAAGUGCCUUUACUCUAUUUUAAUGUGAAAUAUUUGAAGAUUUUUAUAAAUAUUGAAUAGUAUCAUUAUAUUCCCUCAAAAUUCUAAAUAAGAAUCAAAAAAUAUUACUGAACAAAAAUGUAAUAGAAUGAUUUUCCUGAGAAAAAAAAAAGGUACUUUUUGAGGCUUCGGUCACUUUUGACCGCGAUGGAGCCAAGUAUGACUCCAAAACGAAGAGGCCCAGAGGGUUAAGAGGAUGCACAAAUACUUAGAAUAAGUAGUUUAUUAAUCUAUGUAGUACCAUAUUAACAUACAGAUGCAGUAUCAUGCUAGAAAAUGUCAUACACAAACAUUUUUAAAAAUUACUGUAAAUAUAAAGUAUAAGAGUAUUAAGUGUGAGUAUGAAUAAUGUGUUUUCAAAAAAAAAUUCCAUGAGCGAAUAAUUAAUCCUAAGAGAUUUCAGAACAUCUCUUACAGGCAUCCCUAAUGAUAAAAAAAAACAAUAAAAACCCACCAGACGUCAUAAAUUCAGUUGAGAUCACAUAAAGCGCUGAAUCUGUUUAUUUGUAAGAGACUCUCACUGUCAUUCCUGCAGCAAGCACUGGAUGGAUACUGAAGCCUAAUGAGUUGUAAACCAUUUUAAAUGUUUAUUUAUAUUGUUUGCAAUUUGCACUGCAUUGUCAUUUGUUUCAUGUGAUU